rnacentral:rRNA from 1 species
AUUGAACGCUGGCGGCAUGCCUUACACAUGCAAGUCGAACGGCAGCAUGGAGGAGCUUGCUCCUCUGAUGGCGAGUGGCGAACGGGUGAGUAAAGCAUCGGAACGUACCGUGUAGUGGGGGAUAACGUAGCGAAAGUUACGCUAAUACCGCAUACGCACUGAGGUGGAAAGCAGGGGAUCGCAAGACCUUGCGCUAUACGAGCGGCCGAUGUCAGAUUAGCUAGUUGGUAGGGUAAAGGCCUACCAAGGCGACGAUCUGUAGCGGGUCUGAGAGGAUGAUCCGCCACACUGGGACUGAGACACGGCCCAGACUCCUACGGGAGGCAGCAGUGGGGAAUUUUGGACAAUGGACGCAAGCCUGAUCCAGCCAUGCCGCGUGUGGGAAGAAGGCCUUC